rnacentral:rRNA from 1 species
GACGAACGCUGGCGGCGUGCCUAAUACAUGCAAGUUGAGCGAUGAAGAUUGGUGCUUGCCCCAAUUUGAAGAGCAGCGAACGGGUGAGUAACGCGUGGGGAAUCUGCCUUUGAGCGGGGGACAACAUUUGGAAACGAAUGCUAAUACCGCAUAACAACUUUAAACAUAAGUUUUAAGUUUGAAAGAUGCAAUUGCAUCACUCAAAGAUGAUCCCGCGUUGUAUUAGCUAGUUGGUGAGGUAAAGGCUCACCAAGGCGAUGAUACAUAGCCGACCUGAGAGGGUGAUCGGCCACAUUGGGACUGAGACACGGCCCAAACGCCUACGGGAGGCAGCAGUAGGGAAUCUUCGGCAAUGGACGAAAGUCUGACCGAGCAACGCCGCGUGAGUGAAGAAGGUUUUCGGAUCGUAAAACUCGGUUGGUAGAGAAGAACGUUGGUGAGAGUGGAAAGCUCAUCAAGUGACGGUAACUACCCAGAAAGGGACGGCUAACUACGUG